rnacentral:rRNA from 3 species
UCUGGUGACUAUACCGGAGGGGUACCACCCGUUCCCAUCCCGAACACGGAAGUUAAGACCUCCUGGGGCGACGAUACUGCAAGGGAAAAUAGCACGUUGCCAGGUAAUUAAGAACAG